rnacentral:lncRNA from 10 species
AGCCCCCAGUGACUUUCCAAUGAAAUGGAUAGAGAAGGGAAAAGAGACCCUUCGGAAUCAGAUGAGUCCAUGAACUGGCAGCAGUCAGGGCAGUGAUGACAUCACAGAAGGAGGAUGGGCCUUAGACAGACAUCACUCUUUAGAAUCCCUGCAACUUUGAGCAAGUUCGUGAAUCUCACUAAGGCUCAGUUUCCUCCAUAAAAUUAAUCAAUAUCAGGGCCUCUGCAUUGGACAACUCCAGAGGGCACCAUUGGGGUUAUACCUUGUGUUUGCCUAACCUUCAUUGCAGUGGGCAGGUGCAUGCUUUCUACAAUGUCCUAAGGUCUAAAGGGGUAGAGUUCUGUGUGUGGCAUUUUAGGCCUGGAAAGGAUGAGAGUCUACAAAACCAGAGAAAUACUGCAGCAAAUGGUCAAACCCAGGAGGGAAUGGUAUGAACCUCUGGUUUACAGCCAUUGGUAAGAAGCACACAUGACAACCUGGACUUUCCAUCAACAUUUGAAGCGGGAGCAGUCUUGUGGGAUCAAGCUCUUAACCUGUGGGGUCUGCUACUAACUCUGAAUCCAAUGAACACAUGGACCCAACACUCCUUUGGCCAAGUUGAUGAUUCUCCACCAUUUAUUUGCCUGCCUCACUAUACACUUCUAGCAAGCCACUGCAAGGCUGCAUUGCAGCUAAGAGGAAGCCCUCCUUGAAGGCUGCACAGCAAGGAGUGUUGGCAGAGUAGCUGGGUUUCCACUGGGAGAGCACGAGUCAGCAUCAUGCUGGGCUCAAGCAUGGAUAUGCACUGCUGCUGCCAGAGCAUCAUAAUUUGCAAGCAUUUAUCGAGUACCCUUCAUCUAAUUUUCAUCCUGCGGAAACUAGAAAUUGCUACACUUGCACACAAUAAACUUCUGGCAGUUAGCCUUCUAAACUGGGACACUACCAUUUGGGAGGGAAAAGACCUUUCUGGUGGUUAAAGAUGGGGCUUCCAGUUACUGCAUUUGUUUUAAUACAGUCUAUUCCAUAGAGCCAUCGAUGGAGACUCAUUAUAUAACCUUUCGUGGAAAGCUUCUGACUUCUUUCUCAAUGCACAGGUGGGAUGUAAAGGGACAUCCCCAUCAUAAGGCACUUGCCCCAGGCUAGGAACUUAAUUCUCCCACUGUCGACAUGUGGCUCUUUAGAUUUCAUGCUGUAAGUCUCCAGAGGUUUCUCAGGUCUUGCCCUGCAGAAGCAGAAGUCAUGGGAAGGAGCUGUCGCGUAGUUCUUUUUUUUUGGAGCUUGGGUGCUGAAGAUCAGUUCCUCCAACUUUUUGGUUUUUUAAUGUUUCACUCCAACUGCAAAUUUCACCCCAUUUCUAGUGUACUCUCCUUGAGAGAAGUGGAGUUUCAGAUGGGAGCAACUUCACUUGAAGCCCAUAUUAAAUAUGGGAAACACAUUUUCUGCAUCAUAAGAUGGGGACAUUUUUAUGAUACCAGUACUCUUAGGAAGUGGACUGUUCAGAAAAAUGAUUUGGAUUGAAGAGGGCACACAUAUAGGUGGAAGAGUUGGUUGUGAAACAAGGGGAAGAAUUAACUGGUUUCUCCACUGAAGGAGGGAGGAAAAAAAUAAAAGGAAAGAAUAUGGGUAUAUCCAGCAAGACAGACAAAUGUAUGCUCUCCAAGCACUCUCUCUCUCACCUAUCCCAGUUCUUUCAUGUUACAAAAUUCACAAAAUGGCUGUGUGUACAUGAAUUUUGGUGGAAACAGUGAAGAAACUGAGCUUCAUGCUGACAUUGACACAGAGUAGGACAGCUCUAAGGUAGCCUAUGUGAAUGAGCAAUGGAGAAAGAGGGAAAAACAUAAGGAGUUAACCCCAAAAAAUUGGCCAUGGGUGGUGGCUCAUGCCUGUAAUCCCAGCACUUUGGGAGGCCAAGGAGGGUGAAUCACUUGAGGUCAGGACUUCAAAACCAGCCUGGCUAACAUGGUAAAACUCCUGUCUCUACUAAAAUACAAAGAUUAGCUGGGCAUGGUGAUGGGUGCCUGUAAUCCCAGCUACUAGGGAGGCUGGGGAAGGAGAAUUGCUUGAACCCAAGAAGCGGAAGUUGCAGUGAGCCAAGAUCGCGCCACUGCACUCCAGCUUGGAUGACAGAGUGAGACUCCAUCUCAAACAAACAAACAAACAAACAAAAAACCUCCCCCAAAUUAUGGAGAGGGCUCCAGACUUUCUCAAGAUUGUGCAGUUAGCUGUUGUUUAAAGUUAACUAAAUCCCGAUCUGAUGUUUAUUCUCUUAUUUUUAGCUAUUGUUUAAAGUUAACUAAAUCCCGAUCUGAUGUUUAUUCUCUUAUUUUUAUUUUUAAUUUAAUAAGUGCUUCACGUGACUUUUGAGUUAUAGCUGACUGCCCUAGCUCACAUUUUAGUGCCAGAGUAAGUAUCAAAUGGUAGAUUUAUUUCUCUUUUUUAUAAAAGAAAAUCAAUAACCAGUUUGCAAUGCCUUUGGUAGAAAUUCAAUGACUAACAUAAGGUUUUACUUUAUCAAGAAGCUGGGAUAUUGUCAACAGCUAUCCAAGUAACUGAUUCAAAAUCCAAUUGUGAAAACAUUUACUGGGCACUCUCUGCAUGCAAAGCAGUGAGAAGGUGCUGGGAAGAUUAAGAAAAAUCAGGUGCAGUCUCCCUCCUUAGGAGAAAUGGCACAAAAUAGCAUGGUCAUGGAACCAGAGCAGUGAUUCUGACAUGCAUUUCAGAGACAAACAUGGUGGAGGCCAUGUGACUUAAUCAGCAGGAUGGAACUAAAAUAGGGCUGCCUAGGAUUAUACAAACUAUGCUGUUGCUGCUGGAGAUUCCCAAACUGUGGCCUACCAAUGUCAUGGCAGGUGGGGGAUAAGUGGACGAUGAAUCCCUUCAGUGCACCAUUCAAGGGCUUUCAGCCUGAAAUAAGCUAAUACUAUGAGCAGAAUGCCCAGGAAGGGUUUAUGAAGGGUAUACCAUACUCCCAAGAUCAAAAUCACCUCUUGAGGAAUCCCUCCCAAAGGACUCACAGUCAUCUUCCAAAAGGCUUUUAGAAAAAACUAAAGGAUAUGUUUUUCCAAGAGCCUGAUGUCUUAGUGGUCUGGAAGACAUCCUGGGAAUUGUCUGGAAAGGAGGCAUUGGACCUCUAGCUGUGAUGAGAUAUAGGAAUAAGGAGUGGUGGGCUAAGUGUGCAUCUAGUAUGCAAAAUAGAGAGAACAGUAAGUGUGAUGAGAAUAAGAAGGUAGUUGCCCAAAAGCAAAUUUAAUUCUCUCCUACUCCUACUGGAGAGAAGAACAAGGGAUUUGGAGGAAACACAGCAAUGCAGCAUCCACAGGCACAUAGUAUAUGCUCAAUAAAUAUUUUUUUUCAAAUAAUAUACAAAUAUAGAAAUAAGGUCUACAAACAUCACUUGAGAAGCACAGGAUGUGAUUCACUCUUCAGAGCCAAAUUUUAUUUGUGGUAUCACUUUAAAAGGCAGCAGCAGUAGUGCUACUGAGACCAUUUCCGCUGGGAGAGAAGUUCUGAGGACUCUGAAAACUUAUAGGAAGAGGCAGGCAAGACCAGAGAUAGUGAUAAGUAAAGUGAUUAACUGAGGAGCUGUGUGGGGGGAAAAGGAUGUCUCAACUUAGCCAAGGUUCAGAGAUAACAGAAGCUUUUCACCAAAUGAAAGGUGACUGAGUGACCAACUGUCACUGACUUCAGGAAUAACUUGCAGACAGAACAGGUAGACUCAGACAGCAUUCUCAGGUGAAGACCUCAAGGGAAUUCAGCUAGUUGAGGCAGCCCCAAAACCUGGUGGGAAUCCAGCUCAUUUCUGGGAAACCUGAACAAGAACGGAUUCAUAGAUCUCAAAAUUGUACAAAGAGAAAUUUACCAAUAAACACAGGAAAAAAUAAAAUUUCCUGGAAAUAUCAGCUACCAACAAAUAUAUUUUCAGGUGUGCUUCAGGAUUAAGGUUUAUAAAAGUGUGUUAAGAAAUGAAAAUAUUGUUUGUGUGGGUGGUGGUUGUGUUCCUGGGGCAAAAAAAAGAGAGAGAGAGAGAGAAUUGCAACUCCAACUCUUCUUUUUAUAUAUGAGAAAACUGAAACUUGGAAUGAUAAAGUGACUCACUCAAAGUCUCCACACCUACUUGGUAGCAAGUCUUUAUUCAUAGCUGCAUAUAAUAUAUCACCACCUGACAUAUUAUAUAUUCUUCUAUUUGAAUAUUCUUUCCAUUAAAAUGGGACUUUAUUUGCUCACAAUAAUAUUCCCAGAAGCUAGAACAGUGCCCGGCACUAAGGAAAUACUCAGUAAACAUGUGCUGAAUGAGACAAUGAUUUAAAUCUUUAGACUCAUAUUCCAAUGCCAUUUAGAUUACACCAUCCUGUGAGUUUGUGUCCUUUGCAGGGACAUGGAUGAAGCUGGAAACCAUCAUUCUCAGCAAACUAACACAAGAACAGGAAACCAAACACCACAUAUUCUCACUCAUAAGUGGGAGUUGAACAAUGAGGACACAUGGACACAAGGAAGGGAAUAUCACAACACGGGGCCUGUCAGGGGGUUGGGGGCUAGGAGAAGGACAGCAUUAGGAGAAAUACCUAAUGUAGAUAACGGGUUGAUGG